AAACCGCAUGGUUUUGAUUUGAAAGGCGCUUUCGGGUGUCGCUGAUGGAUGGACCCGCGGUGCAUUAGCUAGUUGGUGAGGUAACGGCUCACCAAGGCCACGAUGCAUAGCCGACCUGAGAGGGUGAUCGGCCACAUUGGGACUGAGACACGGCCCAAACUCCUACGGGAGGCAGCAGUAGGGAAUCUUCGGCAAUGGACGAAAGUCUGACCGAGCAACGCCGCGUGAGUGAAGAAGGUUUUCGGAUCGUAAAACUCUGUUGUUAGAGAAGAACAAGGAUGAGAGUAACUGUUCAUCCCUUGACGGUAUCUAACCAGAAAGCCACGGCUAACUACGUGCCAGCAGCCGCGGUAAUACGUAGGUGGCAAGCGUUGUCCGGAUUUAUUGGGCGUAAAGCGAGCGCAGGCGGUUUCUUAAGUCUGAUGUGAAAGCCCCCGGCUCAACCGGGGAGGGUCAUUGGAAACUGGGAGACUUGAGUGCAGAAGAGGAGAGUGGAAUUCCAUGUGUAGCGGUGAAAUGCGUAGAUAUAUGGAGGAACACCAGUGGCGAAGGCGGCUCUCUGGUCUGUAACUGACGCUGAGGCUCGAAAGCGUGGGGAGCAAACAGGAUUAGAUACCCUGGUAGUCCACGCCGUAAACGAUGAGUGCUAAGUGUUGGAGGGUUUCCGCCCUUCAGUGCUGCAGCUAACGCAUUAAGCACUCCGCCUGGGGAGUACGACCGCAAGGUUGAAACUCAAAGGAAUUGACGGGGGCCCGCACAAGCGGUGGAGCAUGUGGUUUAAUUCGAAGCAACGCGAAGAACCUUACCAGGUCUUGACAUCCUUUGACCACUCUAGAGAUAGAGCUUCCCCUUCGGGGGCAAAGUGACAGGUGGUGCAUGGUUGUCGUCAGCUCGUGUCGUGAGAUGUUGGGUUAAGUCCCGCAACGAGCGCAACCCUUAUUGUUAGUUGCCAUCAUUCAGUUGGGCACUCUAGCAAGACUGCCGGUGACAAACCGGAGGAAGGUGGGGAUGACGUCAAAUCAUCAUGCCCCUUAUGACCUGGGCUACACACGUGCUACAAUGGGAAGUACAACGAGUCGCGAAGUCGCGAGGCUAAGCUAAUCUCUUAAAGCUUCUCUCAGUUCGGAUUGCAGGCUGCAACUCGCCUGCAUGAAG
rnacentral:rRNA from 1 species